CCACUAUCAUUCUGAGGCCUUCCCACCCAUGUGGAACUCUGAACUCACAAGAAAAUAAGGAAGACCUCCUGGAGGGAAAACAAGCAAGAACUGAAAACAAGUGCCGUCAGUGAAUGGAAUGAGAUUUCUCAAGCAUGUACCCUGUGACAGUCACUUCACUAAAAAUCAGAAACUCAAACAUGGAACUGGAUGCUAGUUCUGUCCUCAAGAAGCUCAGAGUCUUUCAGAAAAAGAGGAGCCGUGAGACAAAUUACCAAGUGCAAGCUCAGAAGCCUUGCGUUUGUGGUGAGAGAUGAAGAGGGAGUUUGUAAAGAUGUGAAAGCAGGGUCUUUCUCCUUGAAGUUCUGGGGAGGAAUUGUAAAUCUGUUUGUCUAUUGCCAAAGAAUACUUGCCUUGGAAACUAGAGAGAGCCUCAGAUUCAGUCUCAGUGAUAAAGUGCUUCUAAACUGGGUCAGGGACAAAAACAAAGGACAGACGAUACCAUAAAUAAUGAACUUAUGGGGCAGAAAGUGUCAGCUCAAGUAUUUAGAGGCUCUCUACAAGGAAAAGGAAACUAGGAAUGUAAUGAUUUCAUGAGAGGUUUUGGAAGCCUUCAAAAUCAAUAAAUCAAUUAAUUAUUUAGUUCAGUACUUUUCUCUCUUACUAGCAUAUUAUGAUUUCCCCAACUUCAUCUCUCCCUGGUCAUAUCUGUCCUCUACAAUAUUCCAAGGUUGAUCUUUCUGGGAUAAUAUUUUGAUCUUGUUACUCUCCUUUUAAGAAUAAAGGUAAAAUUUAAAUGGUCAUUUGAGGUCAUUUUAACUGUAUUCUGUGUUUUAAGAAGCCCUCCAACUGAUUCUGAUGCAUAGUAAG
rnacentral:lncRNA from 1 species